AAAGAUCAGAGACAACAGAAGCUAUGAGACAGAGUGCUAUGUGCCCUUUUCUAGGAUAAAAGAUCAUCCUGGAAACUAUAUUAUUAUAAUUUGAUAUUCUGGUCUGGUAUGGAGGAGGAAUGAGGAACAGAGGGGGUUCUAGGCUGAGAAAGCCUCGCAUGGUGGCAAAGGAGGCAUUCCAAUGAUGUGAUUCGAGGAUUAAAUUUCAGAGAUACAAACUUGAAUGAUGGGAAUAACGAUUACAAGAAAAACUGGAAGCUCCACAGAACAGGAACGUUGCCUGUCUUUGGAGCAGACUCUGCUGGUGCCCCUGACAUAUCCCCUGUUGCCAUAGAUACCAGCAGCUUCUCACUGCGAGCAUCUGCAAUGUCCUCAAGCAUGCUCGUGAGGCAGG
rnacentral:lncRNA from 1 species